GAUGAAGAACGUAGCGAAAUGCGAUAAGUAAUGCGAAUUGCAGAAUUUCCGUGAGUCAUCGAAUCUUUGAACGCACAUUGCGCCCACUGGUAUUCCGGUGGGCAUGCCUGUUCGAGCGUCAUUUCACCACUCAAGCCUCGCUUGGUAUUGGGCAACGCGGUCCGCCGCGUGCCUCAAAUCGACCGGCUGGGUCUUCUGUCCCCUAAGCGUUGUGGAAACUAUUCGCUAAAGGGUGUUCGGGAGGCUACGCCGUAAAACAACCCCAUUUCUAAGGUUGACCUCGGAUCAGGUAGGGAUACCCGCUGAACUUAAGCAUAUCAAUAAGCGGAGGA
rnacentral:misc_RNA from 1 species